GAUGAACGCUGGCGGCGUGCUUAACACAUGCAAGUCGAACGAUGAAGCCCAGCUUGCUGGGUGGAUUAGUGGCGAACGGGUGAGUAACACGUGAGUAACCUGCCCUUAACUCUGGGAUAAGCCUGGGAAACUGGGUCUAAUACCGGAUAGGAGCGUCCACCGCAUGGUGGGUGUUGGAAAGAUUUAUCGGUUUUGGAUGGACUCGCGGCCUAUCAGCUUGUUGGUGAGGUAAUGGCUCACCAAGGCGACGACGGGUAGCCGGCCUGAGAGGGUGACCGGCCACACUGGGACUGAGACACGGCCCAGACUCCUACGGGAGGCAGCAGUGGGGAAUAUUGCACAAUGGGCGCACGCCUGAUGCAGCGACGCCGCGUGAGGGAUGACGGCCUUCGGGUUGUAAACCUCUUUCAGUAGGGAAGAAGCGAAAGUGACGGUACCUGCAGAAGAAGCACCGGCUAACUACGUG
rnacentral:rRNA from 1 species